UACGUAGGGUGCGAGCGUUAAUCGGAAUUACUGGGCGUAAAGCGUGCGCAGGCGGAUUGUUAAGCAAGACGUGAAAUCCCCGGGCUUAACCUGGGAAUGGCGUUUUGAACUGGCAGUCUAGAGUGCGUCAGAGGGGGGUGGAAUUCCACGUGUAGCAGUGAAAUGCGUAGAGAUGUGGAGGAACACCGAUGGCGAAGGCAGCCCCCUGGGAUGACACUGACGCUCAUGUACGAAAGCGUGGGUAGCAAAC
rnacentral:rRNA from 2 species